rnacentral:rRNA from 1 species
CAGCCGCCUCGGUAAUACGUAGGGGGCGAGCGUUACCCGGAUUCACUGGGCGUAAAGGGGGUGUAGGCGGCUCGGUAAGUCGGGUGUGAAAUCCCACGGCUCAACCGUGGAAUUGCGCCCGAAACUGCCGAGCUUGGGGCCGGUAGAGGGAGACGGAACUGCCGGUGUAGGGGUGAAAUCCGUAGAUAUCGGCAGGAACGCCGGUGGGGAAGCCGGUCUCCUGGGCCGCGCCCGACGCUGAGGCCCGAAAGCUAGGGGAGCAAACCGGAUUAGAUACCCGGGUAGUCCUAGCCGUAAACGAUGCCCACUAGGUGUGGGGGAGUAUUUCCUCCGUGCUGUAGCUAACGCGUUAAGUGGGCCGCCUGGGGAGUACGCCCGCAAGGGUGAAACUUAAAGGAAUUGGCGGG